AUGAAGACCGAAUCCCCGCGUCAUCUUCGUAACCCUCUGCUCGUCCUCCUCUUCCUCGCAGCAGCAGCAGCAGCAGCGUCGGCAGCCCCCGCCGUCCAGAUCGCCAUGGCGGCCGAGCCGGAGCAGGCGCCCGCGGCGCAGGAGGCGGCCGUGCACAUCGUCUACGUCGACCGCCCCGAGGACGCCGACCCCGAGGAGUUCCACAUCCGCACCCUCGCCCCCGUCCUCGGCAGCGAGGAGAAGGCCAGGGGCGCGGUCCUCUACCACUACAAGCACGCCGCCAGCGGAUUCUCCGCAAAGCUCACCACCGAGCAGGUCGAGGACCUCAAGAAGCAACCAGGUGUCCUUCAGGUUGUGCCGAGCCAGACCUACCAGCUCCAUGGAAAUGAGGGUGGACAUGCCAGCACAACCCGCACCAUGGGCCUUAUGUGA
rnacentral:rRNA from 1 species